CGGACAGCGCCGUGGUUGCCGGAAGUUGGGCGGCGGCAGUAAAUAAUGGCGGCAGUUAUGGGGGAUCCCGGACUCUCCAAAUUGCAGUUUGCCCCCUUCAGCAGUGCCUUGGAUGUUGGAUUCUGGCAUGAGUUGACCCAGAAGAAGCUGAAUGAGUAUCGGUUGGACGAAGCUCCCAAGGACAUUAAGGGUUAUUACUACAAUGGUGAUUCUGCUGGGCUGCCAGCUCGCUUAACGUUGGAGUUCAGUUCUUUUGACAUGAAUGCUCCCCCACCAGCCCGCUGCUGCCCCGCGGUUGGAACGCUGUAUAACACCAACACACUGGAGGCUUUCAAGGCUGCAGAUAAGAAGCUACUUCUGGAACAGGCAGCAAACGAGAUCUGGGAAUCCAUCAGAUCGGGGGCUGCUCUCGACCACCCUGUCCUCCUCAACAAGUUCCUCCUCUUGACGUUUGCGGAUCUAAAGAAGUACCACUUCUACUAUUGGUUUUGCUCCCCCGCUCUCUGCCUUCCAGAGAGUAUACCCCUCAUUCGGGGGCCAGUGGACUUGGAUCAAAGGUUCUCACCACAACAGAUUCAAGCCCUUGAACGAGCAUAUGAUGAUCUUUGUCAAACAGAAGGAGUCCCAGCACUGCCUUACUUCUUAAUCAAGUAUGAUGAGAACAUGGUGCUGAUUUCCUUGGUUAAACACUACAGUGAUUUCUUCCAAGGUCAAAGGACCAAGAUAACUAUUGGUGUAUAUGAUCCCUGUAACUUAGCCCAGUACCCUGGAUGGCCUUUGAGGAAUUUUUUGGUCCUAGCAGCCCACAGAUGGAGUAGCAGUUUCCAGUCUGUUGAAGUCCUCUGCUUCCGGGACCGCACUCUGCAGGGGGUGAGAGACGUCACCCACAGCAUCAUCUUCGAAGUGAAGCUUCCAGAAAUGGCAUUUAGCCCAGAUUGUCCCAAGGCAGUUGGAUGGGAAAAGAACCAGAAAGGAGGCAUGGGACCAAGGAUGGUGAACCUCAGCGAAUGUAUGGACCCUAAAAGGUUAGCUGAGUCAUCAGUGGAUCUAAAUCUCAAAUUGAUGUGUUGGAGAUUGGUCCCUACUUUGGACUUAGACAAGGUUGUGUCUGUCAAGUGUCUGCUGCUCGGAGCUGGCACCUUGGGUUGUAAUGUAGCCAGGACAUUGAUGGGUUGGGGCGUCAGACACAUCACAUUUGUGGACAAUGCCAAGAUCUCCUAUUCCAACCCUGUGAGGCAGCCUCUGUAUGAAUUUGAAGAUUGCCUGGCGGGUGGUAAGCCCAAGGCCCUGGCUGCAGCAGACCGGCUCCAGAAAAUAUUCCCCGGAGUGAACGCCAGAGGGUUCAACAUGAGCAUCCCCAUGCCGGGACACCCAGUGAACUUCUCCAGCGUCACCCUGGAGCAGGCCCGCAGGGAUGUAGAGCGGCUGGAGCAGCUCGUCGAAGGCCAUGAUGUCGUGUUCCUGCUGAUGGACACCCGGGAGAGCCGAUGGCUGCCCGCCGUCAUCGCCGCGAGCAAGAGGAAGCUGGUCAUCAAUGCUGCCUUGGGAUUUGACACAUUUGUUGUCAUGAGACAUGGCCUGAAGAAGCCUAAGCAGCAGGGAGCCGGGGACUUGUGUCCCAGCCACCCUGUGGCACCUGCCGACCUCCUGGGCCCAUCACUUUUUGCCAACAUCCCUGGCUACAAACUUGGCUGCUAUUUCUGCAAUGAUGUGGUGGCCCCGGGAGAUUCAACCAGAGACCGGACCUUGGACCAGCAGUGCACUGUGAGUCGUCCGGGACUGGCCAUGAUUGCAGGAGCCCUGGCGGUGGAAUUGAUGGUUUCCGUUUUGCAGCAUCCAGAAGGAUACGAGGAUUUCUGUCGCGAUUUGAUAAUGUCCUUCCGGUCAGCCUGGCGUUUGACAAAUGUACAGCUUGUUCUUCCAAAGUUCUUGAUCAGUAUGAACGAGAAGGAUUUAAUUUCCUGGUGAAGGUGUUUAAUUCUUCACAUUCCUUCUUAGAGGAUUUGACUGGUCUUACGUUGCUGCAUCAAGAGACCCAGGCUGCUGAGAUCUGGGACAUGAGCGACGACGAGACCGUCUGACACGCCCCCCCACCCUGGCUGCCGGCCCACUGAGGGGCUCUCAGUCUCCGGAGCAGGACGCCACCCCCAGGACCGGUGAUUCUGGGCCCCUCCAACCUUUGUGGUCCCCUCAUCUCCAUACCUUAAGGACUGGGGCCCUCCCUCGGCUGCCCGGGAGCUUCUCCGUUUCUUAUGAUUCAUGGUCCCACCAGUUCUCAGCUAAAUAAUAACCUUGGCUUCGGCCUUGCCAGUGAUCUGGGACUUGGUUCCCUCCACGAGCAGUUCUUUCUUCUUGUUGUCACGGGUGUUUGGUAGUCAGGCUCCCGGGAUUCUCCUGGCCAUGACCCCCAUGGGGUGGAAUGAGGACAGGGAGGAGUUGGCCCAACACAGAGCAGGUAGGCAAGUGAGAAGUCAGCUCCUUCCAGCAGCCAUCGCGGGGGCAGCGCCACAAAGCCCCCAGAGCGGCCCUGGGCACGUGUGAGGGCUGGGGUUCUCAUCAGCGCUGUCAGCUUGGCCUGCGGGCGUGGGAGGCAGGAGAGCUGAGCCACGUGCGGGACAGAAGGGACCACACUUGUCCCAGUGAACCCAGACCCCCGCUGAGGACGGAGUCUGUUGCCCAGACAGCCCCUCCACCUGUGGGCCUGUCCUCAGCCGCGGGCUCAGGGGAGGACACAAGUGUCUGCUGCUUCGGGCUGGUGGCAGGGCCCAGGGACAGAUCCUCGAAGCUGCCUGCGUGGGGCCCCUCCUCCCUCUGUACAGGACACCCGAGGCCCAGAGAAGGCUUCAGACCCCACGUGAGAGCCUGCCCUCCUGCCGCAAGCAGGGGCGGCCGCGCCUCCUGCCCCAGGCUCCUCCCUGGUGGUGGCCUGGAAGCCCCAGCGCCGUGUGGGGUGGAGCCCGUGGUGUGUCUGCCUCAGCCUGUGGCCAGGUGCCCAUCGGGGUGGUGGGAGGGCUCUGCCAUGGGCCCCUCAGGCUGAUUUUCCUCCUCCUCCUGGGUGAGCACGUCCGUGCCAGCCUCAGAGCUGGGCAUGGAACCCAGCAGAGGGGCCCUUUCCACACUUUUAUUUCUGUGGUGUCAUCUUUUGUCUUGGGCCUGGAACCAAAGUCAGAAUUGAGUCUGAGUCGUACCAGAGUUGGAUUUCUGUAAGUUAGUUAGGUUUUAAAUGACGUUUCUCCUAGAGAGUUAAAAUUACAGCUUUCCAGCCUGUGCAGGGCUUAAAUCGGAG